GUCUCUUCUUACAUAUCAAAUGGGAAUCGUUUCUUUAAGCACCAAAACCUUAAUCAAUACCUCUUUACUCUUCUUUCCAUGUUUCCUUGGUGUGAUUUGCACAUCUCCUCCAAGUCCAUCACUACUAGCAUCACCUCCACAGGUAACAAAGGCUUUAACUUUCUUAGAUCGGAGACUCGAAUCAGUAUACCCUAUAAUCCAAAUCUUCAAGAGCAUUGUCACCUCAGAUCCUCUUAAUGUUACCCAAACAUGGGUUGGCCCAGAUAUAUGCAACUACACAGGCUUCUACUGUGAUCACCCACCUGAUAAUCUCUCCGCCACUGCCCUAGCUGCAAUUGAUUUCAAUGGGUUCCAGCUCUCUGCUCCGAGCCUUGAUGGGUUCAUUGAUCAGCUCCCAGACCUUGCUAUUUUUCAUGCAAAUUCUAACAACUUCACAGGCAGCAUAUCACCAAAAAUUGCUAGCCUGCCAUAUUUUUAUGAACUUGACUUAAGCAACAACAAUUUCUCUGGCAAUUUUCCUAUGGCGAUCCUUGGCAUCAGUAGCCUAUCUUUUUUAGACAUCCGAUUCAAUUCCUUUACUGGGUCAGUGCCUCCUCAGAUUUUUGAUCAAAGACUUGACGUACUCUUCCUUAAUAACAACAAUUUCAUGCAAAAACUCCCUGAUGCCCUCGGUUCAACCCCAGCACUCUAUCUCACCUUAGCUAACAACAAGUUCACAGGGCCAAUCCCAAGAACCAUCUUUAACGUUUCCUCAACAUUAACAGAGAUUUUGCUCUUGAACAACCAAUUGACAGGCUGCAUCCCAUAUGAACUUGGGCUAUUGAGAGAAGUAGUCCUCUUUGAUGCAAGUAACAACCUAUUGACAGGUCCUUUACCGUGCUCUUUAGGAUGCUUAGCCAAGAUAGAACAGCUGAACCUUGCGGGAAAUUUGUUGUAUGGGCAGGUGCCAGAGGCUCUGUGUGCAUUAGGGAACUUAGCAAAUUUAUCACUUUCAGGCAAUUAUUUCACUUGGCUAGGGCCAUUGUGUAGGAAACUAGUGAAGAGUAGGGUUCUUGAUAUCAGGAAAAACUGUAUUCAUGAUCUUCCAGAACAAAGGUCGUUUCACGAGUGUUUUUUUUUCUUCUUGUACCCUAGGCAUUGUCCAUACCCUGCUUUCUUUAAUUUCAUUCCUUGCAAGGUUCAUCCACCGAUUAAACCUCCCAUGGGUCCAAAGAGAAAUUUAAUUAGCUAUAAAGCCCUUUCAAGACACAGAAUGUGAAGACUAUUUAUUGGGUUUUUAUGAUGAAUUUUCAGUUGGAAGUCAAGAAUGUCAAGUUGUAUGAAUAGUAACUAGCUUUAUUGUUUGCCUAAUAAUGAUCAAUAAUAUGGUUAAUUAUUAAUUACUAAGGGCUCGUUUGGAUUAACUGUUGAAUACAA
rnacentral:misc_RNA from 1 species